CCCGGGGGGCGUGCUAUACAUGCAGUCGAGCGGACAGAUGGGAGCUUGCUCCCUGAUGUUAGCGGCGGACGGGUGAGUAACACGUGGGUAACCUGCCUGUAAGACUGGGAUAACUCCGGGAAACCGGGGCUAAUACCGGAUGGUUGUUUGAACCGCAUGGUUCAAACAUAAAAGGUGGCUUCGGCUACCACUUACAGAUGGACCCGCGGCGCAUUAGCUAGUUGGUGAGGUAACGGCUCACCAAGGCAACGAUGCGUAGCCGACCUGAGAGGGUGAUCGGCCACACUGGGACUGAGACACGGCCCAGACUCCUACGGGAGGCAGCAGUAGGGAAUCUUCCGCAAUGGACGAAAGUCUGACGGAGCAACGCCGCGUGAGUGAUGAAGGUUUUCGGAUCGUAAAGCUCUGUUGUUAGGGAAGAACAAGUACCGUUCGAAUAGGGCGGUACCUUGACGGUACCUAACCAGAAAGCCACGGCUAACUACGUGCCAGCAGCCGCGGUAAUACGUAGGUGGCAAGCGUUGUCCGGAAUUAUUGGGCGUAAAGGGCUCGCAGGCGGUUUCUUAAGUCUGAUGUGAAAGCCCCCGGCUCAACCGGGGAGGGUCAUUGGAAACUGGGGAACUUGAGUGCAGAAGAGGAGAGUGGAAUUCCACGUGUAGCGGUGAAAUGCGUAGAGAUGUGGAGGAACACCAGUGGCGAAGGCGACUCUCUGGUCUGUAACUGACGCUGAGGAGCGAAAGCGUGGGGAGCGAACAGGAUUAAUACCCUGGUAGUCCACGCCGUAAACGAUGAGUGCUAAGUGUUAGGGGGUUCCCCCCCUUACUGCUGCAGCUAACCAUUAAUCACUCCGCCCUGGCGAGUACGGUCCCGAGACUGAAACUCAAAGAAUUGACGGGGGCCCGCACCACCGUGGAGCAUGUGGUUGAGUUCAAGCACGCGAAAACCAUACACGGCUUGG
rnacentral:rRNA from 1 species